GCGGACGUGGUGCGUGGUGCACCGCUGCAUCUCAUGCAUUGCAGAAUUUUCAGUUUGAAGCAGCGGACGGGGUUCGAAUCCCUACGUCCGCA